CGGUGUUAUUAUGAUAACUCCUAUAAAUUAUAAUCAAAUGAAGUUAAAAAUCAAUUUUAUUCCGAACAAAAUGGACUGGGCUUGAUCGUUGUACUAUAACAUAUUUCUUCCCAUCAAACGGUGCUACAGUACGUAGUGAAAAAUCUGGUGCAUGCAUGGGGCAAUCCACAUCAGCUGCGGUUAGUUAGUAGUGAUUCGGCGAAUUCCCAGUCUGUCUCCAUAUAUAUUUUCUGU
rnacentral:lncRNA from 1 species